rnacentral:rRNA from 1 species
CCUACGGGUGGCAGCAGUGAGGAAUAUUGGUCAAUGGGCGUAAGCCUGAACCAGCCAAGCCGCGUGAGGGAUGAAGGUUCUAUGGAUCGUAAACCCCUUUUAUAAGGGAAUAAAGUGUGGGACGUGUCCUAUUUUGUAUGUACCUUAUGAAUAAGGAUCGGCUAACUCCGUGCCAGCAGCCGCGGUACUACGGAGGCUCCGAGCGUUAUCCGGAUUUAUUGGGAUUAAAGGGUGCGUAGGCGGCCUGUUAAGUCAGCGGUGAAAGUCUGUGGCUCAACCAUAGAAUUGCCGUUGAAACUGGUGAGCUUGAGUAUUUUUGAGGCAGGCGGAAGGCGUGGUGUAGCGGUGAAAUGCUUAGAUAUCACGCAGAACCCCGAUGGCGAAGGCAGCCUCCCGGGCCAUGACUGACGCUGAUGUGCGAAAGCGUGGGGAGCAAACAGGAUUAGAUACCCGAGUAGUC